GGGUGUAAUUAUAUUAAUACUAAUGCUUUGAAUCCCAUCAGAACUCCGAAAUUAAACAUGCUUAGGCAAGAGUAGUACUGAGUGCAAUUAUACUAAUACUAAUGCUCGAUAUUGCACCCC
rnacentral:rRNA from 1 species